UCAGGAUGAACGCUGGCGGCGUGCCUAAUACAUGCAAGUCGAGCGAACAGACGAGGAGCUUGCUCCUUUGACGUUAGCGGCGGACGGGUGAGUAACACGUGGGUAACCUACCUAUAAGACUGGGAUAACUUCGGGAAACCGGAGCUAAUACCGGAUAAUAUUUCGAACCGCAUGGUUCGAUAGUGAAAGAUGGCUCUGCUAUCACUUAUAGAUGGACCUGCGCCGUAUUAGCUAGUUGGUAAGGUAACGGCUUACCAAGGCAACGAUACGUAGCCGACCUGAGAGGGUGAUCGGCCACACUGGAACUGAGACACGGUCCAGACUCCUACGGGAGGCAGCAGUAGGGAAUCUUCCGCAAUGGGCGAAAGCCUGACGGAGCAACGCCGCGUGAGUGAUGAAGGUCUUCGGAUCGUAAAACUCUGUUAUUAGGGAAGAACAAACGUGUAAGUAACUGUGCACGUCUUGACGGUACCUAAUCAGAAAGCCACGGCUAACUACGUGCCAGCAGCCGCGGUAAUACGUAGGUGGCAAGCGUUAUCCGGAAUUAUUGGGCGUAAAGCGCGCGUAGGCGGUUUUUUAAGUCUGAUGUGAAAGCCCACGGCUCAACCGUGGAGGGUCAUUGGAAACUGGAAAACUUGAGUGCAGAAGAGGAAAGUGGAAUUCCAUGUGUAGCGGUGAAAUGCGCAGAGAUAUGGAGGAACACCAGUGGCGAAGGCGACUUUCUGGUCUGUAACUG
rnacentral:rRNA from 1 species